CCUACGGGAGGCAGCAGUAGGGAAUCUUCCACAAUGGGCGAAAGCCUGAUGGAGCAACGCCGCGUGAGUGAUGAAGGUCUUCGGAUCGUAAAACUCUGUUGUUAGAGAAGAAAGUGCGUGAGAGUAUCUGUUCACGUUUCGACGGUAUCUAACCAGAACGGCUAGGCUAACUACGUGCCCGGCGCCACGGUAAUACGUAGGUGGCAAGCGUUAUCCGGAUUUAUUGGGCGUGAAGGGAACGCAGGCGGUCUGUUAAGUCUGAUGUGAAAGCCUUCGGCUUAACCGGAGUAGUGCAUUGGAAACUGGGAGACUUGAGUGCAGAAGAGGUGAGUGGAAUUCCAGGUGUAGCGGUGAAAUGCGUAGAUAUAUGGAAGAACACCAGUGGCGAAAGCGGCUCUCUGGUCUGUAACUGACGCUGAGGUUCGAAAGCGUGGGUAGCAAACAGGAUUAGAUACCCCAGUAGUC
rnacentral:rRNA from 1 species